rnacentral:lncRNA from 1 species
GUAGACGGCCGUAUCAUGCUACCGCGACUGGAAGGAAUCUACGAUCCUUGUUUCGGAGCAGAGCUUUGUUUCUGUUAGAUUCGUUCAUUUGAAGUAAAACCGCGUCGAAUAAGCAUAAUUACGAUAUUUAAAGUGGAGUGGGCUAAACUGAAUAAUUACCAAAUGUUUUCUCCUAUUAAAUUCUCCUCUUCUAAAUUGUUUCAAGGAAGAAACUUAACUGGAACGACACGUCAUGUACGUGAUUUAGUUGCAGAUAUUUAUGCAAAUAUACAGCAGUGGAACAAUCUUCAGAUCCAAGGACUCAAUUAUUUAAAAGAUAUAACAUACAGACAUAUUCAGGAAAGUCAUAAUGAAAGUCAUUUAGAGAAUUUGCAAGAUUUAUGUGAUAAAUUAGAAAAUAUUUGUGAUAAGCUGGUACGUUUUUUCUUUUGUUAUGCUGUACUUAUGAUUCUUUUAUUAUUUUACAUAUUUAUAGCUUUACAGGUAUAAGUUAACAUUAUUUUGAUUUAAGGAUAUAUUACUUGUACAAUAAAUUUCUACAAAGUAAAUUGAAAUUAGAAAUGUUAUUUUUUAUAUUUUAAAUAUGAAAGUUACAUGAAUAAAACAUUUGGAAUAAAUUUUAAUUAAUAUUUUUAUAGUUUAUUAAUUUUUUUAAAUUAAAAAUUAAAUUAUUGUAAAAUACAAUAACAUAAGAAAAUCAGUUUUUUGUAUAACUACUUUUGCAUAAGUAUUCAACAUAAUUUAUGUAAAGUUUUAUAAUAUUGUUAUAUAUAACUCUAUUGAAAAAAAUCACGUCACAAAAUUACAUAACAAAAUUACGUAACAAAUCACAUAAUUAAUGAUGACCAAACAUAACAAAUGUUUCAAAUUGUUACCUAAUUUUUAAAAAUCAUGUUAUUUGAAAAAUGUAAUUUUUUAAUUACAGGAUGUUAAAGAAAAUUAUGUAAUUUUGAAGAAGUACAUUAUUUGAAAAAUUAUGUCAUUUUGGAAAGUCACAUAAUGUUUUGGGAAUUAUGAUUUUGUUCACAAAAAAAUAGUAAAAAAUUUAAUUAACUCACUAGUUUUUUAUGGACAAAAUGAUUCCCAAAACAUUAUCUGACUUUUCGAAAUGACAUAAUUUUUUAAAUAACGUACUUCUUCAAAAUUAAUAAAUAAUUAUUUUUUAAAUCAUAUAAUUUUUUAAAUGACAUAAUUUUUAAAAAUGAGGUAACAUUUUAAAACAUUUGUUAUGUGUUUUGUCGUCAUUAAUUACUUGAUUUGUCACAUAAUUUUGUUAUGUGAUUUUUUGACGUGAUGUGAUUUUUUUCAGUAGGGAGUUGUUCUAUAAGAGAUAAAUAUGAUAAGUUAUUCUAUAAAUAAGUAAAUGAGAUAAGUUGACAAAAGAAGCCACUUUGAUUAUAGUUUCUUUAUAAACUUAAACUAUAACUAUACAGAUUAGGUAUUUUAAUUACAAAUAAGUGUUCCCUAAAAACUAUAGUGAUAAUCAAAUAAUAAAUGAGAAAAAGCAAAUAAGUCACUACAGGAUCUUGGUGUAGAAUGUAUAUUAUCUUUGUGAUUCUAACUAAUAAAUAGACGUUUUGAUCUG